GAUCCUGGCUCAGAUUGAACGCUGGCGGCAGGCCUAACACAUGCAAGUCGAACGGUAACAGGAAGAAGCUUGCUUCUUUGCUGACGAGUGGCGGACGGGUGAGUAAUGUCUGGGAAACUGCCUGAUGGAGGGGGAUAACUACUGGAAACGGUAGCUAAUACCGCAUAACGUCGCAAGACCAAAGAGGGGGACCUUCGGGCCGUCUUGCCAUCGGAUGUGCCCAGAUGGGAUUAGCUUGUUGGUGGGUAACGG
rnacentral:rRNA from 1 species